rnacentral:rRNA from 1 species
GAUGAACGCUGGCGGCGUGCUUAACACAUGCAAGUCGAACGAUGAAGCCCAGCUUGCUGGUUUGUUUAGUUGCCAACGGGUGAGUAACUCGUGCGUAACCUGCCCUUCUCUCUGGGAUAAGCCUGUGCAACUGGGUCUAAUACUUGAUAUGACUUCUCUUCGCAUGGUUGGGUGUGGAAAGAUUUAUUGUUCUUGGAUGGACUCGCGGCCUAUCCGCUUGUUGGUGAGGUAAUGGCUCACCAAGGCGACGACGGGUAGCCGGCCUGAGAGGGUGACCGGCCACACGGGGACUGAGACACGGAGCAGAAGCGUAUGGGAGGCAGCAGGGGGGAAUAUUGCACAACGGGCGCAAGCGUGAUGCAGCGACGCCGCGUGAGGGAUGACGGCCUUCGGGGUGUAAACAUCUGUCAGUAGGGAAGAAGCGAGAGUGACGGUACCUGCAGAAGAAGCGACGGCUAACUACGUG